CACGAACGCUGGCGGCAGGCUUAACACAUGCAAGUCGAGCGCCCCGCAAGGGGAGCGGCAGACGGGUGAGUAACGCGUGGGAACCUACCCUUUUCUACGGAAUAACGCAUGGAAACGUGUGCUAAUACCGUAUACGCCCUACGGGGGAAAGAUUUAUCCGAGAAGGCAGGGCCCGCGUUGGAUGGGCUAGAUGGUGGGGUAAAGGCCUACCACGGCGACGAAGCAUAGCUGGUCUGAGAGGAUGAUGAGCCGCAUUGGGAAAGAGAGACGGCGCAGGCGACGACGGGAGGCGGCAGUGGAGAAUAUUGGACAAUGGGCGAAAGCCUGGUACCGCCAUGCCGCGUGAGUGAUGAAGGCCCGAGGGUUGUAAAGCGCUUUCACCGGGGAAGAUAAUGACGGUCUCCGGAGAGGAAGCCCCGGCUAACUUCGUGCCAGCCGCCGCGGUAACAC
rnacentral:rRNA from 1 species